UCAACUAAAUUUAGUUUGAAUAAAUUUUUAGCAGAAUCCAGGGUGGUUGGUUCCCAAGAUUCGGCCAAGACGAACUUAGCACGCUUGUUUGGUCUUUCAAGUAUAAGUGGCAUUACCAAUGUAGUAAUGGCAUUGAUGAAAACUCCACCAACAAUGAAAUGGACAAAGCGUUUCGGAAAGGGCAACACUUUCUCUUUUUGAUGUACCAGUCGUGUAAUACGAGGUGCAACAUACGUCUCAUUUUUACUUACCCGGUCAUAUCGAAAAUGACAGUUAUACCAUUUUCUUGAGCCUGAGGCAGCAGCAGUAGGGAUUCAAAUAUUAAAUCUUCCAUUUCGGCGCUAUCGAUUAGAUAAUUGGGAUACCUAGCAAAGGCAUCAACUGGUGGAGGUAAACGUAUUGGCCUUCCUUCUUUAUCUGGCUUAGGCAUUACAAAUCUUGCAGCAACUUCCAAAAACUCAUCUCGAAAGUAUUCAACGGGAUGAUG